AGAGUAAGACGAGGACAUUUCUUAAGGAAUUCUUUAAAGCUAUGUCAUUAUUCAUAAGUAGAUUUUCCAUCUAAUUGGAUAAAAUAAGUGAUAUCAUUUAUAAACUU